rnacentral:rRNA from 1 species
CCUACGGGUGGCAGCAGUGGGGAAUAUUGGACAAUGGGCGAAAGCCUGAUCCAGCCAUGCCGCGUGUGUGAAGAAGGCCUUCGGGUGGUAAAGCACUUUCAGUGGGGAAGAAAGCCUUGGGGCUAAUACCCUCGAGGAAGGACAUCACCCACAGAAGAAGCACCGGCUAACUCCGUGCCAGCAGCCGCGGUAAUACGGAGGGUGCGAGCGUUAAUCGGAAUUACUGGGCGUAAAGCGCGCGUAGGCGGUCUGAUAAGCCGGUUGUGAAAGCCCCGGGCUCAACCUGGGAACGGCAUCCGGAACUGUCAGGCUAGAGUGCAGGGGAGGAAGGUAGAAUUCCCGGUGUAGCGGUGAAAUGCGUAGAGAUCGGGAGGAAUACCAGUGGCGAAGGCGGCCUUCUGGACUGACACUGACGCUGAGGUGCGAAAGCGUGGGUAGCAAACAGGAUUAGAUACCCGAGUAGUC